rnacentral:rRNA from 1 species
AUUGAACGCUGGCGGCAUGCUUUACACAUGCAAGUCGAACGGCAGCGCGGGCUUCGGCCUGGCGGCGAGUGGCGAACGGGUGAGUAAUUCAUCGGAACGUGCCCAGUAGUGGGGGAUAGCUCGGCGAAAGCCGGAUUAAUACCGCAUACGACCUGAGGGUGAAAGCGGGGGAUCUUCGGACCUCGCGCUAUUGGAGCGGCCGAUGGCAGAUUAGCUAGUUGGUGGGGUAAAGGCCUACCAAGGCGACGAUCUGUAGCUGGUCUGAGAGGACGACCAGCCACACUGGGACUGAGACACGGCCCAGACUCCUACGGGAGGCAGCAGUGGGGAAUUUUGGACAAUGGGCGAAAGCCUGAUCCAGCAAUGCCGCGUGUGUGAUGAAGGCCUUCGGGUUGUAAAGCACUUUUGGCGGGAACGAAAAGGACUGUGCCAAUACCACGGUUCGAUGACGGUACCCGCAGAAUAAGCACCGGCUAACUACGUG